rnacentral:rRNA from 1 species
GAGAGUUUAGUAUCCUCGGCGUACAGGAGUGAACGACUGGCGGCGUGCGUAACACAUGCAAGUACGAACGAAGCGAUGGAAGACGGAAUUUUUCGGUAAGGAAGUCUCUAUGACUGAGUGGCGGACGGGUGAGUACGCGUGGUAACCUGCUCAUACAGGGGGAUAACAGUUAGAAAUGACUGCUAAUACCGCAUAAGACCACAGUGCCGCAUGGCACAGGGGCCAAAGCCUUGACGGUAUGAGAUGGACCCGCGUCUGAUUAGGGUAGUUGGUGGGGUAACGGCCUACCAAGCCGACGAUCAGUAGCCGACCUGGGAGGGUGACCGGCCACAUUGGGACUGAGACACGGCCCAAACUCCUACGGGAGGCAGCAGUGGGGAAUAUUGCACAAUGGGGGGAAACCCUGAUGCAGCGACGCCGCGUGAGUGAAGAAGUAUUUCGGUAUGUAAAGCUCUAUCAGCAGGGAAGAAAAUGACGGUACCUGACUAAGAAGCCCCGGCUAACUACGUG